UGGUUCCUACGGGAGGCAGCAGUGAGGAAUAUUGGUCAAUGGACGAGAGUCUGAACCAGCCAAGUAGCGUGAAGGAUGACUGCCCUAUGGGUUGUAAACUUCUUUUAUAUGGGAAUAAAAUGUUCCACGUGUGGGAUUUUGUAUGUACCAUAUGAAUAAGGAUCGGCUAACUCCGUGCCAGCAGCCGCGGUAAUACGGAGGAUGCGAGCGUUAUCCGGAUUUAUUGGGUUUAAAGGGUGCGCAGGCGGGCUGUUAAGCCGGCG
rnacentral:rRNA from 1 species